AUUGUGUGAGCCCUUGGAUCCAUUAAGAUGCCUAGUUACAUUUACCAACUAAUUUUACUUUUGCUUAAGCUCGUUGAAUUGGUUUGGGUCAUGGCUAAUGUGCUUCCCCAGCUGUUUAGGAAGGGGCCUAGCUGACCUAGUCUCUAAGUGCACACUGCCUGGCCCACGGCCUGCUUGACUCAUUGAGUUAUCAUCUCCUCUUUGUGCUCAGGAUAUAGCUCUUCUGCCUUUUAUUCUGCCUUGAAAGUUUCAGCGUCCAGCUCUGCAUUCAUUUUGGUGACAAUGGGCCAGUCUUUUCCUGGGAAAAGAGGAGCCCAAAGCGCCCUCUUGGCAAUCAGUGUAAGGGUAGAACCUGUGACUUCUCUCAUAGUUGAUGGGGUCAGAUGGGUAGGGCAGGACCCAUUUUGAUUAAUAUGCCUAUAAAAUGGAAUUCUGGGACUGACCUCCACUCAGCUCAAGCCACACAAAGAUAAUUGACCUUUGGAAACUGCCUUUGGCAGUCUUUUUAUUAUUUUUAUAGGAAAGUCCUGCAAACCAAUUACAUCUCACAAUGGGCCUUUUAUGGUGCUAUUAGUUUAAUGCAGCUUUCAGAGAAAUUAGCCCUCAGGGAGCCUGAAAUUCUAGGGGAAAAAAAAAAAAGCCCUUCGUGGACUUAUUUGACUUUUGGAUUCAUAGGAAAGAUGGAUGGGUAGCACAAUAUUCCCUACAGUCUCUUUUGCAUUUUGAGCCAUCUGACCAAAGUACCAAAGUCCCAUUUUAGGUCCCUGGUGUCUGGCCCAAGGAAAAGGGAAAAAAUAAAUUUAGAAAAGAACAAGCUGUCUCUUUAAAGAACUCAGUCUACAAAUCAAGGAGGGUUUAUUCUCCCUUGGUCUGAGGUUAAAGAAAAAUGGAAGUGAGAAGAUUGAAAUAGCACUUUGAUUUGAAGGUCUGGGCUUUUCAGAAUGUGAGAUUACAGGUGUCCGUCUUGGAUCCUCGGGUUGGCUUCCUCACCUCUCACCCCAGCCACAAUUAUUUACAGAGUGAUGGCUCUCAGUGCCACUGUCACAGUGUCAGGCUGUGGGUCUCCACUGGAGAGAAGGGAGGGACCAUCUCAGCAGUCACCCUGCCCUCUGCCACAGAACAAGUGCCUGGGACUUAGAGCAAGCUGGGGGAGGGAGAGAAGGACUGGCAGGAGGCCUGCCCAGGCGCGAGGCCAGCCCAUCCCUGGGACAGGGAAGGAACCAUAGAGCAGGUCUGGGAGGGGCAGAAGGCCCAAGCCACUUGCCCUUGGUCAUCAGCCUGGUGCACCUGUGAGCUCACAGUCCUGUUGCCGCUCCUACCUUGAGGGCUUAACUGGGUCAUCACACUCUUAUCCUUCAGUUAUUGUUGGCUCUGGUUCUGACCUUGCCAGGUCCCCGGGGCAGAAGAACUGGGUUUUAUCUGCAGGCCUGUGGGCUUCCUGGAGCUGCAGGAAGAUUUGGCUUCACCUGAGCAGACGGGGCUGGCUGCAAUGCUGAGAGCUAUGGCAGAUCCAUGGGAACAGCCCUCAAGCAUCCGUGGGAAGGAGGUAGUGACAAGAUUGAAAGACAGGUGCUGCUUUGGCAAGGACAUCUCCUCGGCCUGCAGCUCUCUUCUCAGCCUGGGCCAGCAGCCUCUGCUUCUCCUCUUUCGGUGUCUCUGGGCUGAGGUCGUGGACCAGCUCAGGCAGGAUGAGCUACUUCCAGUGCUCGGUCUAAGGGAGAAAUCAAGCUCAUGGUCUGAAUCACCGAAGGAGAUAAAUUAAAACGAAAUUUUAGCCAAAAACCCUUGGAUCUGGGCUCCUGGGCCUGAGCACCAGACCGGUGUGAUGCAGUCACAAACACUGUUUAGUAUUUCUCAGGUUCAACUGAUACAGAAACCAAAGGAAGCUCGAAAUCACUUUUUUGUUUGGUUUAUACACAAGUUGGAGGUUGGACAAACAUAUUCACCAUCAUUCAGUGCAUCAUUCAAUGUGUUCCCAGUCCCCAGUCACUCAGGUGGGCACAGGAAGAAGAGGAAUAACAGGGUGUCAUAUAUUGAACACUUACUACAUGCCAUUCACUGAGCAGUUUGGUCUGUGUCUUCUGGUUUUUACUGUUGUUCAAAAUAAAAGCUGAUAUUUCGUGGUGUGUUUA